AUACAAGGCGCUUCCUUCCCGGCGCGGCUGGCUGGCGGCCCGCGGGCUGGGAGCCCGGUCCGCUGGGCCCGCCCAACCUCGGAGCCCGCGGCCAGCGGACCUGCUGCCAAGGAGGGGGCGGCAGCGGCGGGAGGGACGGGAACGCGGGGCCUGGCCCGGCGCGGGAGGCGCGGGACGGGCCGACUUGGGGGUCCCGCUGGUCCCCGCUGGUUUCGUAUUUUGCCUCGCUUUUCUCCCCUAGCCCGGAGCACAGCACGCCCUGCCGGAGGUCUUUCAGCGGCCCCAGCCCGGGACCUCCAGCCACACGGGCCUCCGAGCCUCGCCGGCCGCUCUCCCCUGAGAGUUGACAAGACAGCUGUCACAAAGUCCAGCUUUCUGCUGGGGAGGAGACAAGCAAGUCCCCAUGUGGCCAGCUAGACCCGCCUGUGAGCCUGUGAUUGUUCUGCCACAGGGUCUUGCUCUGUCACUCAGGCUGGAGUGCAGUGGCAGCACCAUGGCUCACUGCAGCCUUGACUUCCGAAGCUUAAGUGAUCUUCCCACGACAGCCUCCCCAGUAGCUGGGACCACAGGUGAGUGCCACCACAUCCAGCUAACUUUUUUGUAGAGAUGGGGUCUCCCUAUGUUGUCCAGGCUGGUCUUGAACUCCUGGGCUCAAGUGAUCCUUUUGCCUUGGGCUCUCAAUGUGUUGGGAUUACAGGUGUGAGCCACAAUGCCCAACCCCACAACAACUAGAUACUCACAUGCAAAAGUAUGAUGUCAGACCCCUGACCUCAUACCAUAUGCAAAAACUAACUCAAAAUGGGCCAGUGACACAUAAUAGAUAGGGUCUUGCUCUGUCAUCCAUGCUGGAGUGAGAUGGCACAGUCAUAGCUUAUUGCAACCUCAAACUCAUGGGCUCAAACAAUCCUCCUGCUUCAGCCUCCCAAGCAGCUAUGACUACAGGUGUGCACCACCACACCCAGCUAAUUUUUAAAUUUUUUGUAGAGUUGAGGUCUUGCUAUGUUGCCCAGGCUGGCCUUGAACUCCUGGCUUCAAACCAUCUUCCUGCCUUGGCCUAUCAAUGUGCUGGGAUUAUAGGCAGAAGCCACUGUGCCUGGGCUAAAACUCUAAGAGAAGAAAACAUGGGUAAAUCAUGACCUUGGAUUUGGCAAACAACAGAUAUGGCAACAACAGAAAAACAGAUAAAUUGAACUUCACCAAAAUUAGUUUUGUGCAUCAGAAGACAUUAUCAAGAAAGUGAAAAUACUUGCAAAUAAUAUAUCUAAUAAGGGUUUGGUAUCUAGAGUAUAAAGAACUGUUAUAACUCAACAAGAUAAACCAAUUCAAGAUGGGCGAAGGAGUUGAAUAGACAUUUCUCCAAAGAUAUACAGUAUCAACCCACGAGAAACAAAAAACAUAUAUUCACACAAAGACUAGUAUGUGAAUGUUCAUAGCAGCAUUAUUCAAACAGCUAAAAACUGGACACCGUCCAAAUAUCCACCAGUGGAAGAGAUAAACAAAAUGCGGUAUAUUCAUACAAUGGAAUACUACUUUUGUGCUGUUUUACCCACAACACUUCUGACACCAAAUGUGUGGAGUUUUGUUCCCACAUCAACCUAUUCUCCAACUCUCCAGACACAACUUGGUGUCCUACAAUUCAACUCAAUUCUGACACUAAUACCCUAAGUUAACAGACCCCACAGAUUAAGGGUUCAGUUCCAUAAGACUGCCCCAAUAUUAGAUGCCAGUCACAAGUUACCACCUGUACUUCUGACUAACUGGCUGUAAGGGGUUCCCAUGACCCCCUCUUCAAGUUUGAUAAUUUGCUAGAACAGCUCACAGAACUCAGGAAAAAUCUACACAUUAUGGUAGGUUAUUAUAAAGGAUACAACUCAACAGAACAGAUGCAUAGGGCAAGGUAUGGGUGCAGAGCUUUCAUCCCCUCUCUGGGCAUGCUACCCUCCCAGCACUUCAAUGUGUUCACCAACCUGGAAGCUUCCUGAACCCCAUCAUUUAGGGGGUUUUAUGGAGGUCUCAUUAUAUAGGGAUGAUUGAUAAAAUCAUUGGCCAUCAGUGAUUAAGUCAACCUCCAGCCCCUUUCCGCUCUCUGGAGGUGGGAGGCAGGUGCUGAAAGCUGCACUUUUUUUUUUUUUUUUUUUUUUUUUUUUUUGGAGACAGGUCUAGCUCUGUUGCCCAGGCUGGAAUGCAGUGGAGUGAUCUUGGCUCACUGCAGCUUCUGCCUCCCAGGUUCAAGCGAUUCUCCUGCCUCAGCCUCCUGAGUAGCUGGGAUUACAGGCAUAUGCCACCAGGCCCAGCUAAUGUUUUUUUGUAUUUUUAGUAGAGACAGGAUUUCACCAUGUUAGUCAGGCUGGUCUUGAACUCCUAACCUCAAAUGAUCUGCCCGCCUUGGCCUCCCAAAGUGCUGGGAUUACAGGCAUGAGGCACCGCGCCUGGCCCAAAAGCUCUACUCUCUAAUCACGUUUUGGUCGUUCUGGUGACCAGUCCCCAUCCUGAAGCUACCUAGGGGCCCCCAGUCAUCAGUAAUCAUAUUAGCAUAGAAAAGACACUCUCAUCACUCUGGAGAUUCCAUGGGUUUUAGGAGCUGCAUGCCAGGAAAGGAGUGGAGCAAAGACCUGUAUAUGUAUUUCUUAUUGUAUCAUACUACUCAACAAUAAAAAUGAACAUGCAACAGGCUGGGCAUGGUGACUCACACCUGUAAUCCUAGCACUGGGAGGCUGAGGCGGGAGGAUCACUUAGAGCUAGGAGUUCAAGACCACCCUGAGCAACAUAAGGAGACCCCAUCUCUAUAAAAAAUAUAUAUAUAUACAAAAAAUAGCCUGACAUGGUGGUGUAAUCCCAGCUACUUGGGAGGCUGAGGCGAGAGAAUCACUUGAGCUCAGGAGAUCAAGGCUGCAGUGAGCUGUUAUUGAGCCACUGCACUCCAGCCUAGGUGACAGAGUGAGACUCCAUCUCAAAAAAAAAAAAAAGAAAGAAAGAUAGGAUAGAUGUAUCUCAAAAAUUUAUCUAAAUGAAAGAAGCUUCACAUAAAAGACUACAUGUUGUGCUUUUCCAUUAAUAUAAAAAUUUCUAGGAAGGCCAGAACUGUAGAGGUAGAAAGCAGAUCAGUAGCAGCUGGGCGUGGUGGCUAAUGCCUAUAAUCCCAGCACUUUGGGAGGCCAAGGUGGGCAGAUAACAUGAGGCCAGGAGUUUGAGACCAGCCUGGCCAACAUGGUGAAACCUCGUCUCUACUAAAAAUAGCAAAAUUAGCUGGGCGUGGUGGCAGGCACCUAUAGUCCUAGUUACUCAGGAGGCUGAGGCAUAAGAAUUGCUUGAACCCGGGAGGCGGAGGUUUCAGUGAGCUGAGAUCGCGCCACUGCACUCCAGCCUGGGCGACAGAGCAAGGCUCUGUCUCCAAAAAUAAAAAAUAAAAAAAAAACAAAGCAAGUAGAUUGAUCAGUAGUUGCCCAGGGUUGGAUGUGGGAACAGAGAUUGACUGCAAAAGAGCACAAAUAAUCUUUUUGGGAUGCUGAACAUUAAGUUGUGAGUUGUGGGAUGUUUACAUAACUAUACAAAUUUACUUUUUUUUUUUUUUUUUUGAGACAGAGUCUCACUGUCACCCAGGCUGGAGUGCAGUGGUGGGAUCUUGGCUCACUGCAGCCUCCACCUUCCGGGAUCAAGAUAUUAGAGGCCAGGCGUGUAGGCCUGGCCUACACACAUUUACUUUUAAAAAUAAAUAGCCAAACUAUACCUACAGUGGGUUAAUUUUAUAGUUUGUAAAUUAUACCUCAAUAAAGCUGUUAAUAAACAAACCACAGAAAUGACAGCAGGAUGAAAAAACCAGUGUCCUAGCCGGGCACGGUGGCUCACACCUGUAAUCUCAGCACUUUAGGAGUCCAAGGCGGGCGGAUCACGAGGUCAGGAGAUCGAGACCAUUCUGGCCAACAUGGUGAAACCCUGUCUCUACUAAAAAUACAAAAAUUAGCCAGGUGUGAUGGCGCACGCCUGUAGUCCCAGAUACUCGGGAGGCUGAGGCAGGAGAAUCACUUGAACCCAGGAGGUGGAGGUUGCAGUGAGCCGAGGGCACGCCACUGCACUCCAGCCUGGCAACACAGAGAGACUCUGUCUCAAAAAAAAAAAAAAAAAAAAAAAAAAAAAAAAAAAAAAAGAAAGAAAGAAAAAGAAAAAAGAAAAGAAAAGAAAAGAAAAGAAAAAACAGUGUCCUGAAAUCUGAAUGUCUUCCUGGCCUUUGGAUCCAGUCAGGACUGAUCCACGUGCCUCUCCAAACUCACCCUCUCAUCUCUCCAGCUAACCCAGGUCCCCACAUAGACCUAGCACCCCCAGAGGAGGAAGGAGCCACCCUGCACUCCCCUUGUCCUUUAACACUCAUUGUCAUUCCUUGUUCAGAGUCUCCACUGCUGGACCUUCAACACCGAAGGGCAGGGUGUGCACCUGCACUGUUUGCCACUGAAUCUUGCACGGGACCUAGUACACGGGACAUGUCUAAAUGCUUGCUGAGUCAAGGAAUGAGACUGGCUUAACCCAAGUCUCAUUUAAGGAAUAGAGGUGGCCGUGGAGUGCGUCUGUGGAGAAGGCUGGAGGAGACUGGGGUAGAACUCCUUCCAUGUUACCUUUCAGAAUCAGAGCCCGACAGGGGUGCAAGGGAGGGCCUCUAGCCCUGAGCACAGAAAUUCGUCUUUAUCUGGAGGAGCAACUCUCUCCCAGGCAACAUCCUGCCUUAUUACAAAGAGUCCCCCUCUGCAGGCCCUCCAGGCCCACCCCAGCUGGCUCAUGUUGCCUUUCCCCACCAGAGAGCCUAGGCUGGGCAUGUCUUUGGGUCUGGACAGUAAUACAACAUGGGGCAGAGGGUCCUGGCAUCAUCAAGCCCUGAUUUCUCCUCAUGCCUUCUCCCAGGAAUCGGAAUAUCUCUGCAUCUUUGCCUCUCAGAAGAUCCUUGCCAUUCCUGCUCGGAGCCUUUCUCUCAAGUUUCCACCCUCCUUCCUUAUUCUCCUGGCUUCCUUGGAAAUGGGUUUGCCCUCUAGCUUUGAGUGGGGAUGGACAGGCAAGCAGAAGGGGCUAAGCCUAGGUAUAGUAUCUCAGCAGAGUGGGAGGAGCUGGAAGUCUGUGGCAGUCAGGGAGAGCUAGAUGGGGCUAAUUUGGAAGGCCGGGGGCUGAAGAAGCAAGUUGAUCCACACACCCAAGCCAACCUUGACUCACAGGGAAGUGACUUCAAACAGCUUUCAUAACUCCAUCUGGAUGUUGGCCACCUUUCCUCUCCUAGCUCUUUGGUUUCAGGCCACGUGCUCCCUCCAAUUGUCCCUUCUCUCAUUUAUAACAUUAGAGAGAACAGGGCCUGGAUGAAGAAUAACAAGAUCAUCCGGCUGUUAAGAGCACCGAAUCUGGAGUUGGAGCAAGUGUUCAUGUUGGCUCUGCUAAUUUGCUGCAUGAGCCUGACAGGUCACUAUAUUCCUCUCUGGCCUCAGCUUUCUUCUGUCUUUAGUGAGGGGAUUGGAAUAGGUAAGGUGCAAGACCCUUUCUAGUGCUAAAAUUAAGGGGCCCGGCACAGUGGCACACACCUGGAAUUCCAACACUUUGGGAGACAGAGGCGGGCCAAUCACUUGAGCUCAGGAAUUCAAGACCAGCCUGGGGAGGCUGGGCACAGUGGCUCACGCUUGUAAUCCCAGCACUUUGGGAGGCUGAGGCGGGCGGAUCACAAGGUCGGGAGAUCAACACCAUCCUGGCUAACACGGCGAAACCCUGCCUCUACUAAAAAAACAAAAACAAAAAAUUAGCCGGGCG
rnacentral:lncRNA from 1 species